rnacentral:rRNA from 1 species
AACGAACGCUGGCGGCAGGCCUAACACAUGCAAGUCGAUCGCUGUCUUCGGACAGAGAGGCGCACGGGUGAGUAACACGUGGGAACAUACCCUUAAGUGCGGAAUAACUAUUGGAAACGAUAGCUAAUACCGCAUACGCCCUACGGGGGAAAGAUUUAUCGCUUAAGGAUUGGCCCGCGUCUGAUUAGCUAGUUGGCGGGGUAACGGCCCACCAAGGCGACGAUCAGUAGCUGGUUUGAGAGAAUGAUCAGCCACACUGGGACUGAGACACGGCCCAGACUCCUACGGGAGGCAGCAGUGGGGAAUAUUGGACAAUGGGCGCAAGCCUGAUCCAGCCAUGCCGCGUGAGUGAAGAAGGCCUUCGGGUUGUAAAGCUCUUUCAGACGUGAAGAUGAUGACGGUAGCGUCAGAAGAAGCCCCGGCUAACUUCGUGCCAGCCGCCGCGGUAA